UGCAUUGCUUCUGUGCAUUGCACACAACCAUUGAAACCUAAACUAGGACAGCUACAGACAGUUGCCUGUGUACAAAUCUGGGUAUGCAGCUUUGGAAAAGAACAUCUUAAUUUUCUUCUCCUCUGGUCCUGUGAAGAUUUAUGAUUUGACUGUGAAGCUGGACGCAACCCAGAGAUUAGUAACCAGUUUAAAUAUUGCCAAAGUUUGGAUGCAGUCAGGCGAGUUUGCUUCAUCUCUUAAGUUCCUUGUUAUUUGUAUUUAAUUGGUGUUUUUUCCUAUUUUAGAUGUAUUCAGAUAAAACUUUUCUGACUCAUACA